UACGGGGGGUGCGAGCGUUGUCCGGAUUCACUGGGCGUAAAGGGCGCGUAGGUGGCCCGGUCAGUUCGUGGUGAAAGCGCGGGGCUCAACCCUGCGUCGGCCAUGAAUACUGCCGCGGCUGGAGCACUGUAGAGGCAGGCGGAAUUCCGGGUGUAGCGGUGGAAUGCGUAGAGAUCCGGAAGAACACCGGUGGCGAAGGCGGCCUGCUGGGCAGUUACUGACACUGAUGCGCGACAGCGUGGGGAGCAAACAGG
rnacentral:rRNA from 1 species